AUCUAUAGCUCAAUUGGAUAGAGCAUCUGACUUCGGAUCAGAGGGUUGUGGGUUCGAUUCCUACUGGGUG
rnacentral:tRNA from 1 species